ACAGCCAUUUUGGAUCUCAUUCUCAGCUCCAGUGUCACAUGACUCCCCCAGAGUCCUGAUAUGGCCAUCAAUCUGGUCCUGAACCUGGGAGCGUUAGACCGGCGCCACCGAACAAUCUGCAGCAGUACAGGUUUCUAAGGCGAACCACAGCUCAGAGCCACGAACAGUGAGUAAUGAUAAUGAUGCUGAUAACAGCCGUGGUUACACAUCAAUGGCAGGUAUAGGAAGGUAGUGAGUGUGUUACGUCAUUGUGGUGAUACAGAGAUGGUACAGAGCAAAUAUUGAAAAUUCUGAAUACAAUUAUAAUACUAUGGGUUAGCUAUAAAUCUGUCAGCACGACCAUAAUCGGACAGAGUAAGCAGUCCUGCUGGUACAGAAGAGAUGAGAGGGAAGAAUAGUGUUCACCCUGUCAGCUCUUCAGAGGAUCAGCUUUACCACGGUCUGCCCCUCCACACACAAGGCCAGUCCUUUCAUCAUCUCAGGAAUACUCUCAGGAGCUUGAAAGGAGGAUGACAACAACAUCACAGUGGCGGUGGGGACAGCAUCAGAGGCAGAGGAUGGUGUUCUGGUCAGAAUGUGGAGAAGAUAGAUGCAUUGUCCAUCAUUAUCAACCAGAGGAG
rnacentral:lncRNA from 1 species